GGAAGUAAAGUCGUAACAAGGUUUCCGUAGGUGAACCUGCGGAAGGAUCAUUAUUGGAUUUUGAAACUUCAGGCUGCUGCUGGCUCUCCUCGGAGGGCAGGUGCACGCUUGUUGUCCAUUAUUUCUCCCACUGUGCACAAAUUGUAGACCUUUCAGUAGGCCUAUGUUGUUUUUCACAAUCUCUGAAUGUAAUAGAAUGGUUUUGAAUCUUGGGAAAUACAAUACAACUUUCAGCAACGGAUCUCUUGGCUCUC
rnacentral:misc_RNA from 1 species